AGCAGCCGCGGUAAUUCCAGCUCCAAUAGCGUAUAUUAAAGUUGUUGCAGUUAAAAAGCUCGUAGUUGAAUUUCGGGAUUAGUACGCUGGUCAUGCCUUUGGUAUGUACUGGUGUUACUGAUUUCUACCUUCUGAAGAACCGUUAUGUCAUUUAUUUGGUGUGGCGGGGAAUCAGGACUGUUACUUUGAAAAAAUUAGAGUGUUUAAAGCAGGCUCGCGCUUGAAUACAUUAGCAUGGAAUAAUGAAAUAGGACGUUUGACCCUAUUUUGUUGGUUUCUAGGAUCGACGUAAUGAUUAAUAGGGAUAGUUGGGGGCAUUAGUAUUCAAUUGUCAGAGGUGAAAUUCUUGGAUUUAUUGGAGACUAACUACUGCGAAAGCAUUUGCCAAGGAUGUUUUCAUUAAUCAAGAACGAAAGUUAGGGGAUCGAAGACGAUCAGGUACCGUCGUAGUCUUAACCAUAAACUAUGCCGACUAGGGAUCGGAUGAUGUUAUUUUUAAUGACUCAUUCGGCGCCUUACG
rnacentral:rRNA from 1 species